GACGAACCGUGCGAACGUUGUUCGGAAUCACUGGGCUUAAAGGGCGCGUAGGCGGGUCAUCAAGUCCGGGGUGAAAUCCUUCGGCUUAACCGGAGCAGGGCUUCGGAUACUGGUGACCUCGAGGGGUGUAGGGGCAUGUGGAACUUCCGGUGGAGCGGUGAAAUGCGUAGAUAUCGGAAGGAACGCCGGUGGCGAAAGCGACGUGCUGGACACCUUCUGACGCUGAGGCGCGAAAGCCAGGGGAGCAAACGGG
rnacentral:rRNA from 1 species